UACGUAGGGUGCAAGCGUUAAUCGGAAUUACUGGGCGUAAAGCGUGCGCAGGCGGUUGUGCAAGACCGAUGUGAAAUCCCCGGGCUUAACCUGGGAAUGGCAUUGGUGACUGCAAGGCUAGAAUCUGGCAGAGGGGGGUAGAAUUCCACGUGUAGCAGUGAAAUGCGUAGAGAUGUGGAGGAACACCGAUGGCGAAGGCAGCCCCCUGGGUCAAGAUUGACGCUC
rnacentral:rRNA from 1 species